ACGUAUUUUGCCCCAGGUCACAGAGCUCAUCAAUAGCAGAGCAAGAAUUCACAUUCAGCUGCAUAAAUUCCAUUCUGCUUUACUCCAUCUGAACAAGGAAAGACUUCUGGAAUUUGUAGAUUAGCCCCGUCGGGGAAGGACAGCAUCAGUACUAGAACCCUUCCUCGUGUUGUAUUACAGACUCAGGAUGGAGCCUAAAAGCCUGGAGUAGAGCUACCUUCUGGACGCCUUGUAUGAAACAACUGACUGAACCAGAGGUACAGACUUCUGAAUCAUGAGAAAUAAUGCUGAAGGUGAGAAAAACACCUGUGGUGAGCAUCCCCGAGACAGGCUCGCUUUCUUCAAAGCCCUUCAGGGCGAUGACGCUGACAAGGUACUCCACUCCAGAGCUGCUUUACUAAAGAGGGCUCCUACUCUUGACUGGCCU